UUUUAUAAGAAUUUGCAGUUUACUUUAGAUUGGCUAGGAAAUUGCUUUGAAAUUGUCUCUUUGUAAAUAACUAAAUAUUACUCGGUGCUGCCCUGAAUUGAAUAUCAGCUAGAAUAACUCUGUUCCUGCAAUUUCAGACUAAAGUGAUUAUUUGGGUGAGAGUUUAAUGACAACAAGCGAUGCUGAGACUACAGAGGAAUCAAUGUCACUCGUGAUUGAUGAUACAGUUCAUGUUGCAGUUGGAAAGGAUGUUGGAGAAAGCAGGUUGACUUUGAAAUGGGCAGGACAUCACAGAAUUUUUCUAGCAAGAGAAUUUGCCUUCUUCAUGUUCACCAGCCUGCUGAAGUGAUACCCUUGAACUUUGAUAAAAUCAACCCCUUUGCCACUUGUUUAUUUAUUAUGUGUCUGGGAUGCAUUUGGUGGGAAUUUUCCAGCCAACAGACUUGAACAGCAUGAACUGAGGCACAAGAUCCUGGACGAUUACCUUCUUAUUUGUCACCAUGCAACGGUCCUUGCAGAAAAGCUAUACAUUGAGGAGGAUGAUAUUGGAAAGGGGAUCGUGGAACUCUUGUCCCAGCACGGUAUCAAGAAGCUUGUUAUGGGUGCAGCUGCCGACAGAUAUUAUUCAGAGUACAACCCGUAACUACACUAUCGUACCUCAUCAAACUCAGAUGUCAAUGGAUAAAAUUUUGUGAUGUCCGAAUGACUAUGGAUUUUGGCUGAUGCUCUUUGUAGAGCCAAGUGUUUAUUUUCAGGCAUGCUGCCUCAAUGGGUUCCGUCAUAUGAACUAUGCCAUGUAUUUUUAAGCUGAGGAGACCAUUGAUGAAACCAUUGGGCGACUACGCAGAGAAUCAGAAUGGUCACGCUAUUAGAGAUAAGAAGUUCACAGAAGAAUUGGUUUAGAGGCUGAAAAGGGGCCAUAAUUCACAUUUGCUCUGGACUUGUUAGGGGAAUGAUGAAUCUCUAGUUCAGAAAGGACAAAUAUGCCAACAGUGUGCACCUCUUUCCUAUCAAAUUCUAUUAUGCA